AACACUGUUAACCUGCGGUACCUGCGGAGGGAUCAUUACCGAGUUAGGGUAGUCACUCACUGCCCGACCUCCCAACCCUGUGUCUAUCACACUUUGUCGUUGCUUCGGCGGGCCGGUUGACCAACUGGUCAUGACCGCCGGGGGCUAGCUCUGUCCCCCCUGGAGAGCGUCCGCCGAUGGCCCAACCACAAAACUCUUGUACCGAAACGUGUCGUCUGAAUUAUGUUUGAGAAAUCAAAA
rnacentral:misc_RNA from 1 species